rnacentral:rRNA from 1 species
UACGGAGGGUGCAAGCGUUAUCCGGAUUCACUGGGUUUAAAGGGUGCGUAGGUGGGCAAGUAAGUCAGUGGUGAAAUCUCCGGGCUUAACCCGGAAACUGCCGUUGAUACUAUCUGUCUUGAAUAUCGUGGAGGUAAGCGGAAUAUGUCAUGUAGCGGUGAAAUGCUUAGAUAUGACAUAGAACACCGGUUGCGAAGGCAGCUUACUACACGAUCAUUGACGCUGAGGCACGAAAGCGUGGGGAGCAAACAGG